rnacentral:rRNA from 1 species
CCUACGGGAGGCAGCAGUCGAGAAUCAUUCACAAUGGGGGAAACCCUGAUGGUGCGACGCCGCGUGGGGGAAUGAAGGUCUUCGGAUUGUAAACCCCUGUCAUGUGGGAGCAAAUUAAAAAGAUAGUACCACAAGAGGAAGAGACGGCUAACUCUGUGCCAGCAGCCGCGGUAAUACAGAGGUCUCAAGCGUUGUUCGGAAUCACUGGGCGUAAAGCGUGCGUAGGCUGUUUCGUAAGUCGGGUGGGAAAGGGGCGGGCUCAACCCGCGGACGGCACAUGAUACUGCGAGACUAGAGUAAUGGAGGGGGAACCGGAAUUCUCGGUGUAGCAGUGAAAUGCGUAGAUAUCGAGAGGAACACUCGUGGCGAAGGCGGGUUCCUGGACAUUAACUGACGCUGAGGCACGAAGGCCAGGGGAGCGAAAGGGAUUAGAUACCCCAGUAGUC